rnacentral:pre_miRNA from 1 species
UUAAUUUAAAUUUGUAUGGAGUUGUAACGUUUGCCUACGUUUGCCGCCAGGGGUCCUGUUCUAACUGCAAAUUUGAUUUA